GGGUAUAUGGUAAAUAUCUAAAUAUUAAGUUAAAAAUGUUCAAAAGGGAAAGGCAUUCAUCAAUCAAAUUCUAUCCAAAACACACCUUUUAUUUCCCUCAGAAAUGGAUACAAAGCUUUAUUUCUUCGAAUAUCAACUUGACCUAAACCCUAUCUCAUUCCGGCUCCCACAAUUGGGAACAUGACAGCACCCCCAUCGGUACUAUGCUCUAGUCCGAUAAAUCAAAGUGUAGCCUUCCAUAAGUCGGCGAAGCAAUACAAAUGUUGCAUCUCAAAUGACGAAAGCUCAGUAGUCGAAAGCAUUAUUAGCUUAUGCUUCGACCCAAGUAGCACAAGACACAUGAAAUCCUGUGUAAAUCAGUAACGGCCAUCUUGCAAAGCUAAAUACUCUUGGUUGACCGAUACAAAAUAGUACCUUGAGGGAAAGGCGAAAAAUAAUCCCGAUCAAGGAGUGAAAUAGAACAUGAAACCGUAAGCUC
rnacentral:rRNA from 1 species